GUGAGGAAAUGAGGGGCGGGAGGGGUCAGGAGAGGGUGGCCGCUUGCGGCGCGGGCGGCGCGGUGG
rnacentral:miRNA from 1 species